CUCUCUCUUUGCCCCUCCCCCACUCAUGCUCUGUCUCUCUCUGUGUCAAAAAUAAAUAAAUAUUAACAAAAUUUUUUAAAAAAAUGAUGAGAUAAAAGUACAAACGGAAGUUACAAUGUUUUCUUACCACAGUCCAUUGGAUUGUCUUGCAUACAUACUCAGGUGCAUGUAUAUGAAAAGCAUUUAUAUAUACCUUAGGAAUGUGAUGCUAACCAUAAUAUAAGAACAGAUUUUACAACAGAACUGUCAGUUUUGAGGUAGGUUGCCUGGGGAAGAUCAGGCAAAAGCUGGAGAACCACACACACAUCAUGCAUGUUGUAGGACAUAUCCAUGACUCCAGUUGAGAGUUGGACUAAACAACCUCUGAUACUCCUGAAUUCUAUGACUAUAGAUAGGAAUUCAUAGGUGGAGCACUUAUAUUUAAAACACUGUAGGAAACUUAGGCUGUGAAUCUGGAACAGGACUAAACAGGAAAUUGUUCAACUUCUUCACCCAAACCUGCUCAGAACUUCUGCUGUCUUUAGAAAUUUGAUGGGGUGCCUGGGUGACUCAGUCGGUUGAGCGUCUGACUUUGGCUCAGGUCUUGAUCUCACAGUUUGUGGAUUUGAGCCCCAUGUUGGGCUCUGUGCUGACAGCUCAGAGCCUGGAGCCUGCUUCGGAUUCUGUGUCUCCCUCUCUCUCUGUCCCUCCCCUGCUCACGCUCUAUCUCUCUCUCAAAAAUAAAUAAACAUUAAAUUUUUUUUUUUUAAUUUGAUGAUUUCUGGGGUGCUUGGGUGGCUCACUCAGUUAAGCUUCCAACUCUUGAUUUUGGCUCAGGUCUUGAUCUCAUGAUUUAUGAGUGCCAAGCUCUGUCCUGAUAGCUUGGAGCCUGGAGCCUGCUUCAGAUUCUCUUUCUCCCUCUCUCUGCCCCUACCCCGCUCGUGCUCUCUUCAUUUCUCUCUCUCUCUCUCUCGAAAUAAAUAAACUUAAAAAAAAAUUUUUAUGGUUUCUGCUUCACAAGCUAUCUCCACAUAGGAAAAAGUUUUAAGUUUUCUUGUAAUAUCCUGACUAUAUAGGAGAAUAAAUCUGUAAGUAAGGAAUUCCAACAAUGAACUUUAUCAACAGAGUUUUACUCUGCUUUAGUAUACCAAAUAAAAGGAGAGAGGCAGGGAGAAAACAUGAAAGCAAGUUAAGGAUGAACCAUUAUUUUAAAGUGUAUAGUAUCACAGUCCCUCUAAAAUCUGUAAGUUACUAAAAUAAAUCUAUAAGUACUGUUUCACUAAGAAUAAGUAAUUCUGGGGGCGCCUGGGUGGCUCAGUUGGUUAGGCGUCCAAAUUCAGCUCAGGUCAUGAUCUCACGGUUCGUGAGUUUGAGCCCUGUGUCUGGCUCUGGGCUGACAGCUUGGAGCCUGGAGCCUGCUUUGGAUUCUGUGUCUCCCUCUUUCUCUGACCCUUCCCCACUGUGCUCUGUCUCUCUCUCAAAAAUAAGUAAACAUUAAAAAAAAAUUUUUUUUUAAAGAAUAAUUUAUUCUGCGAUGUAAUUGAGUAGCUUCACUUUUUUAAGCUCAAAAUUGUAUUGCCUUCAAAACAAAACUUUAGCAUCCAUCUGCCCUUUUUCUUUUUUCUUUAUGGUGAGGGGAUGGUUUUGUGAAAUCCAGCUAGCAAAGAUAAGCCAGCAAUAAGCUUAUAGCUUUUUCACUGUACUUGAUUUGAGUAUUGUGGAUGUGACUAUAGUGCUACAGAGCACCUACUUAAGUUUCUUUGUUGUGGUGGUGAUUUUCUUCUUUCCUGGUUGAUGUAAUACCCUGUUCUGUGUCAUUGCUCACAGAGAGGCAGAAGCCCUUGUGCUUCAAUGCAUCUAAGAGUGUCUAGCAUCAUUAGAACUUGAGAUUUUGUUUUUUAAUUUCUAAUCCUGCAUUUGUUGAGAAGAUUUCCAUCUUAGUAGCACUUUUUUUUUUAAAGUAUAAAAGACACAAAAUGAAAGGCCAUUGGAUGGCCUGUGGGAUGUUCUUUGGGAGAUGUUUUCUACAAUUUUAGUGAAAUAGAAGCUUAUUAGGAUAUGAUACAAUCUUAGGGAGCAUACACUUGGUUUAUUAAUAAAAGCCUCAAAUGUUAAGCAGCUAUGCAAAUACACAAAUAACCACCAUCUUUUAGUGUAGAAGUAGAAUAUCUUAAACAUUGUUUUCUGGCUUUAGCUCACUGGAGGUUUUCCAACAACAUUUAACUUGUUUUCAAAUGAUUGUAGAUUGUGCAGGACACAACUAUACAUUCUUCUGGGUUAAAGAACAGUGUCUACGUUUAUACUGCUUGGAACUGUUGUCUGCUACAAAAAUGCAAAACAGCUAAAGAAAACAAUCUACCCAUUUUGUUAUUGCAACUGAUUGUUUAUUAGUGGAAAUAUUUCUUUGAUAAAUUUCUUUCCAUUUUCCAUAUUCCUUGGGUGUCACAAAUUGUCUUUACAAGAUUUGUGAUGAGUUAUACCAAACAUUGAAUCAAAUUAAGUUUAAACAGAUAAAUACUCGUGAGGUUAAUAUAUUCUUCUUAGGAAUGUUCUUCCAGAGGGCCUUUGCAAAUAAGGUGAUCUUGCUUGAGUUUCUUGGUAGAAAGAUGGAAUCCAGGCUAUUUUCUGUUGUUAGAAGUUUAGCUUUGUGAGAAUGGGAAUAAAGGUUUUAUGAUCUGAUUAUAGCUCAGGAGAAUUUAGGCCAUAGUAUAAAUUACCUGCCUUCGGUCUACAUACUGGUUUGGGAUGUAUAUCCUUUUUUUUAAAAUUUUUUUUGCUCCUACUUCUAUGUCAUUAUCUUUUGUUGCAUUUGGGUGCAGAGAUUUUUGGAUUGGUACAGAAAUCCAAGACAAGCUUGACUUUUGCUUCUUGUUUUCAUCAUUAUAAGGAUUUGUAGUUCUAGUAUUUUACUAAAUAAAAUCAAUUGAAUAAACAGUUUUCUUAUUUAGAUGAGUCACACUUUGUCACAUACUAAGUUUACCAACUAUGCCGUUUAACCAAAUAGUUAUUUUUUCCUUUUUUAGUGGGAUUUACCUAAUAAUUAGGUUUAAAAAAAAUAGCUGCCAUUGAAACUGGCAAAAAGAAAAAAAAAAUUGCAAAAGCAAUUGAUGUUUUAUAUAAAGAAACGACACUCCUGUAUGUCUCUUCUUUACUAUAGUACACAGUACACUUCACUUCUGAUUAACAGAUGUGUGGGCUUUUUCCCCCCACACCAAGCACUUCUCUGCAGUAUCUGGUGGGUGUCCUACAGUUUAAUGCAAUAAUGACCCUAUCUGAGAAGAUAGCUUCAUAUCCCACAGUUUAAGGGCAUAGACCCACAAGACUGCUUCCCUUCCCUGUUUAGCUGCCACUGGCAAGUCCAGGUUUUGACCAGCUGACUACAGAUCAAAUGAUCCCACCACCUACUCCUUGGGUUCCAUAAAUUUGCUAGAGUGGCUCGGAGAACUCAUGAAAAUAUUUUACUUACUGUAUUAGAGGUUUAUUAUAAAAGGGUAUAACUCCAGAAUGGCCAAGAGAUGCAAAGGGCAGUUAUGUGUGAAGAGGGGCAGAGCUUCCGUGCCUUCUGGGUGUGUCACUCUCCCAGGACUUCCCAUGUGUUCACCAACCUAGAAAUUCUCAGAACCCCAUGGGUUAGGGAUUUUUGUGGAAGCUUGAUUAUAUAGAUAUGGUUGAUCAGAUCACAAUCUCCAAGCCCUCCUUACUCCUUGGAGAUGAGAGAGUGUGGGGCUGAAAGUUCCAAGUCUGAGCACAUGGUUGGUUCCUCUGGCAACCAGCUCCCAUCCUAGGUUAAGUGGAGGCAUUCCACAAGACACCUCCUUAACAUAAAAUCAGGUAUGGUUGAUGGGCGCCUGGCUGGCUCAGUUGGUUACGCAUCUGACUCUUGAUUUCAGCUCAGGUCAUCAUCUCACUAUGGGUUCAAGUCCCAUGUUGGGCUCCACGCUGACAGCGCAGAGCCUGCUUGGGAUUCUCUCUCCCCUCUCUCUCUGCCCCUCCCGAGUUCGUUCGUUCUCUCUCUCUCUCUCUCUCUCUCUCUCAAAAAUAAACUUAAAAAAAAAAUCAGGUGUGGUUGAACAGGGUGAGGAGGUUGUUAUGAGUAAUACAACACUCAUUUCACCUUUAUGCUCUGAAGCUAUUUCAGGAUCUAAGGACAAAAGACCGAAUAUUAUAACAAAAGAUGCUCCCUUUGCUGUUAAUAUGCAGGAAAUUCCAAGAGUUUUGGGAUGUAUUAGCCAAGAACUGUGGAUAGAAGACCACAAAAUAUUACAGAUCACAGUAUCAUAUGCUAAGUGUGAAGAUGUCAAAGCCAUUCUUUUUGAUUGAAUGUUUUAAGUCUAUUUUUCUUAAGGAAAAAGAGAGACUUUCUCUCUCCUUAAAGAUUGGAACCCUUGUGAUUUUUUUCUUCCCAUUAGUUUAUUUCUCUUAUCAUUCAUUGUCUGUAGCUUUACAAUUCUGUAUUGUCCUAGUACUGCUUUUGAAAUUACAGCUGGAAACUCUGAAAAGCAUUUUCACAAAGGAAGACUGAAUUGUGACCUUAGACCAACAGUAAGCUACAGGAACAAAUGAAAUUAAGAAAUUAAUAUUAUUUCAGAUAUGUUUCUUUGUCCUUAGUCUUUCAGAGAAUUGUUGAAACCAAGAAUUUAAAAGUCAUCUCUUUGCUUUUCAACGUAAUUAGAACUAUAAAACAUUCUACCUGCUUAUAAAUCUGCUUAAAUUUUUUGUGAAGGAGUUUCCGUAGACUGAUAUACUACCAUUUUUCAGAUUUUCAGAGUUCUCAAAAACAAAUGUUUUCUUCACCGUAUGUAACACAGGGAAACUUUAUUUUAACCUUUUAUGUUUAUCACAUAAUAUAAAACAUUAAAAAAAAAAGAAACCACUACAGCGUUCUAAUAACCAGAACUCUAUAUUCUAUUUCUUUUUUUUCCUCAGGCAAUCAUUUUUAUCCUGGAAUUUAUUUGAAUAUUUUCUAAAUAGCAUGCUUAUGUCUUUUUUUUUUUCUCUUGUAGAUAGUAUCUGUUGAUUGCCUAUAAGAAGAUGAUGAUUAAGUUCUUUUCUCUCUGCCCACAUUUUAUUAAAAUUUUAGUUAAAUUUUGAUACUGUUUACAUAUGCCAAUGUAAAUAGUUUAACAAGGUUGGGGGAUGAAAAUUUUUCCUCUGUCCUUUGAGGUCCUUUUGGCUGGUAUAAGGCAGAUUAACAGGAGAAAAUCAUAUUUGAUUACCUAAGUAUGGGGCUCCAUAAGAAUAUGAGACCCACAGGAAGUCAGGCAGUUGAGGCUUAUAUGCUAUGCAGAGCUAAAGAGAAGUUGGGUAUGGGGCUGAGACUUCAAAGGAAAGAUGAAAGGAAUCUUCCUAGGAAGAUGAAAAAGAGUGAAUGUUUGGUAAACAAAUGUUUGCUGGAUCAUACAGAAACAGAUCGGUAGAGCGU